rnacentral:misc_RNA from 1 species
CAACCCUCAAGCCCUGCUUGGUGUUGGGGCGCUACGCGCAAGCGUAGGCCCUCAAAAUUAGUGGCGGACUCGCUGGAGGUCCGGGCGUAGUAAUACACCUCGCCCGUGGUCCCCCGGCGCGGCCCUGCCGUUAAACCCCCAAAUUUACAGAA